CAUCUUCAGUAUCCCAGUCAAUGUUGUCACUAUCUUCUUCAGAAAGAUGUUUGUCCAUUUCACAAUGUAAGCCUGAAAAGAACUCUAAAGUGUUCAGCACGAAGAGUAAUUGAGCACCCUGAGAAUCCUUGUCGAUCAAAGGGUGUCAAGCAACUCCGUGCUGCGCUAUAUCAUAAAUCUUCUUAAUAUCAUAGAUUUGAGAGCGAAGGAAGAAGAGGAGUUGAG
rnacentral:misc_RNA from 1 species